rnacentral:rRNA from 1 species
GGAUUAGAUACCCUGGUAGUCCACGCCGUAAACGAUGGAUACUAGAUGUCCGAGGAGUUCGACCUCUUUGGGUGUCGCAGUUAACGCAUUAAGUAUCCCGCCUGGGAAGUACGGUCGCAAGACUAAAACUCAAAGGAAUUGACGGGGGCCCGCACAAGCGGUGGAACAUGUGGUUUAAUUCGACGCAACGCACAAAACCUUACCUGGAUUUGACAUCCUCUGAUCGCUCUAGAGAUAGAGAAUCUUCUUCGGAAGCAGAGUGACAGGUGCUGCAUGGCUGUCGUCAGCUCGUGCCG